GCCGGGCGUGGUGGCGCAUGCCUGUAGUCCCAGCUACUCAGGAGGCUGAGGCAGGAGAAUCACUUGAACCCAGGAGGCAGAGAUUGCAGUGAGCUGAGAUCAUGCCACUGCACUUUAGCCUGGGUGACAGACUUAGACUCUGUCUCAA
rnacentral:SRP_RNA from 2 species